UACGGAGGGUGCAAGCGUUAUCCGGAUUCACUGGGUUUAAAGGGUGCGUAGGCGGGUAUAUAAGUCAGUGGUGAAAGCUCCGGGCUUAACUUGGAAACUGCCAUUGAUACUGUAUAUCUUGAAUGUCGUUGAGGUUAGCGGGAUGUUGCAUGUAGCGGUGAAAUGCUUAGAUAUGUUACAGAACACCAAUUGUGAAGACAGCUAACUAAGCGAUGAUUGACGCUGAGGCACGAAAGCGUGGGGAGCAAACAGG
rnacentral:rRNA from 1 species